GGUCCGUUGGUCAAGGGGUUAAGACACCGCCUUUUCACUGCGGUAACACGGGUUCGAAUCCCUUACGGACUA
rnacentral:tRNA from 1 species